rnacentral:tRNA from 1 species
GUAAAUAUAGUUUAACUAAAACAUUAGAUUGUGAAUCUAACAACAGAGACUAAAACCUCUUAUUUACC